CUACUUCCGGAAAAUUUGCAUAAAACUAGCAAGUGAGCUUUGUUCUCAAUACUGCUCUCAAGAUUGAUUGCUAGGUUUUGGCGAACAAAAAUGCGCUUUUCAAGUUAUGUGAUUAUGUUAAGACCAGCCCUUCAAAUACUGAGUUUUUAGACGUGUCUAAUAGAUGGCGUGUCGAUUAUUGUGUCAGUUAUGGGCUUAUUGCGUUUUGCUGUCAGAAGUUUAGUUAUCUUUUCUUCGAAAAUUACCAAUGAAUUCAUAGUCUUAUAACUGAAAACUUACAGUCUGAAUGUCGUGCAGCCGGCCGUCAACUAUUUUGUUCAAACUCAUUGUAUUCUACUGAAUGUGCCAUCGAAAUGAUACAGGAUUCAUCAUAAUUAUCGGCUGUUUCUAGUGGACUUGCUAGAUCAUCAACCCCAGCAUGGACCAAUCUCUCAUUCCAGCUUCUAGAGAAUCUUGGAUAACUGAUUGGCGGUUUCAUGUGAUCUAAACUCCAGGUUUCUAAAUUUGCACGGCAGCCUUUAUGAGAAUUCAUGUCCUUUCAAGUAAGUCAACAAGGUCACUUGUUUACUAACCUUUUGGCUGCUACCCUUGAAUCUCCCUUUUUACUCUCUAAAGACGGGCCAUCUUAAUUUGAGGGUAAUCCUUCGCUACUUGUCAUGGACUUCAUCCACUGGUGAAAACCGA